AGGAAAUAUAAUAACUAUUCAAUUUGGUUUCUUCAACAUUUUGAAUUGAAUGAAACAGUUCAAAUUGGGUGCCAAAGAGGAUAAUUCUUAGUCACAAACCAAAAAUGAAAAAUGCUGUUGAACCUCCUAGCAGUCCGCGACACAGAAAUGUAUCAGCCAGGUGGAAUCCAUUUGAAGCAUGUAGGCCUAGAAUUGAUGAAGCAGUGGUUGCGGAGGUUGCUAUUUUGGUGGUG